CUCUUAUUCAGAGUAGGUGGAGGGACUGGCCCGAUGAAACCCGGCAACCGGCAUUUAUGCACGGUGCUAACUCCUGCAGAGAAAUCUGGGAGAUAAGAG
rfam:Desulfosporosinus sp. OT TOT.assembly.63, whole genome shotgun sequence.